AGUGAACGCUGGCGAUAGGCCUAACACAUGCAAGUCGAACGGCAGCACAGUAAGAGCUUGCUCUUACGGGUGGCGAGUGGCGGACGGGUGAGGAAUACAUCGGAAUCUACUUUUUCGUGGGGGAUAACGUAGGGAAACUUACGCUAAUACCGCAUACGACCUACGGGUGAAAGCAGGGGAUCUUCGGACCUUGCGCGAUUGAAUGAGCCGAUGUCGGAUUAGCUAGUUGGCGGGGUAAAGGCCCACCAAGGCGACGAUCCGUAGCUGGUCUGAGAGGAUGAUCAGCCACACUGGAACUGAGACACGGUCCAGACUCCUACGGGAGGCAGCAGUGGGGAAUAUUGGACAAUGGGCGCAAGCCUGAUCCAGCCAUACCGCGUGGGUGAAGAAGGCCUUCGGGUCGUAAAGCCCUUUUGUUGGGAAAGAAAAGCAGCAGGUUAAUACCCCGCUGUUCUGACGGUACCCAAAGAAUAAGCACCGGCUAACUUCGUG
rnacentral:rRNA from 1 species